rnacentral:rRNA from 1 species
CCGGAAUGAGUGAGCCUCUGGUGUUCCAGUUGUUCACCACGAGCAAGCUGGGUAGCUAAGCUCAUUAGAGAUAACCGCUGAAAGCAUCUAAGUGGGAAACUCGCUUCAAGAUUAGAUACCCCGUGUAGCGCAAGCUACACAUUAAGAUCCCUCGAAGACUACGAGGUUGAUAGGCUGGGUGUGUAAGUACAGUAAUGUAUUCAGCUAACCAGUACUAAUAGAUCGAAUGUUUUAC